AUAAACCGUAGAAGAAGACAUGUGCUAACCGGGCGAUGCUAACCAUGCAUGCUACAGAGGUGGAGGGAGGUGAUCUUCUGUCUUAGCUGAGUAUUUGUGCAAUUAUUCGCCUUCAUGUGGGAUAGUGGAAUGAACGAUUGCUCAAUCUGGACCUGGGAAUGUUAAAGCUACAGGAUUUCACUGGAGGAAGCCCUUUCCUGAAAUACCAUGACCUUCAGAUGUAAGGUAAAACAACUGCUGCACAGCACACGUUUUAUCAGUAAAACAGGUUUUAUUCUAAAGUUGGAUAUAUUGUCAUAGUUUUCAAUAUAAAUAAGAAUUUCUACGUCCUAACACGUAGAUUGAAAUUAUGUGGAAUUCACUAGUAACGAGAGAGCGGUACUAACUUCUCGAGAGGAGGAAAAUUCUGAACAGAAAUGUGAAUGCAUGGCUGAAUUCUGUUUUACUCUUGACAUAGUAAACACAGUCAGACACCAUGCUAAAUGAUAGAUUUCACACACUGACCCAUUUAAAGGAUAUGAGUGCUUUUGAUGUGCCUCAUUCUUUUGUCAGAGUGAAUACAUGUCAUUAGCUCAUGCUUACAGCUGUAAUUUUCGGUGUCUGAAAUAUGUAAUCAUAAAUGCAUGAAAAAAGUUGUUGCUCUUCAUUUUAACUUAUGUCUGGUCUGUAUUUGCCAGCUUAUGUAAAUAUCUGUGGAAUCUCAGACGCAGAUGAUGGUCUGAGUGACCUGCAGACUCUGAAGACCAGCCUGAUAUUGGGAAGACUUGAACGGACUGAGGGAAAACUCCCGUCCAGGUAAUUAUUAUCAGUGUCUUAAUGUUUUCAAUUUCUUUUUACCAACACAGUAUUCUGCAAUUUAACAUAAGAUUGUUCUGACUCGUUCAAAUGGAAUUGUGUCUUUUCUGAA
rnacentral:lncRNA from 1 species